AAGACCCCGUAACCCCCUAGAGGUGUCGCAGAGAGCACGUAGGACUCACACAGAGCCUAGCGCGCUAGACACCAUCUGGUAGAUGCAUGUUACCCACAUGCUCAUUGUACAUAACAUCCCAAGUUUACAACCCCCCAUACAUCCCCCUGACCCCCGAAGGUACAAGUGUAAGCAUUACCACCCAGAGAAGACACACCAUCACUACCACCUGACCUCCAAUGGCUGAUCUCAAAAUAAUGUCCCUAAAUGUUAGGGGACUUAAUACUCCAGAGAAACGUACAGUACUAACCCAAGAAAUAGACAGGC